rnacentral:rRNA from 1 species
UACGUAGGGUGCGAGCGUUGUCCGGAAUUAUUGGGCGUAAAGAGCUUGUAGGCGGUUUGUCGCGUCUGCCGUGAAAGUCCGGGGCUCAACUCCGGAUCUGCGGUGGGUACGGGCAGACUAGAGUGAUGUAGGGGAGACUGGAAUUCCUGGUGUAGCGGUGAAAUGCGCAGAUAUCAGGAGGAACACCGAUGGCGAAGGCAGGUCUCUGGGCAUUAACUGACGCUGAGGAGCGAAAGCAUGGGGGAGCGAACAGG